CUCAAUGAGCACCUGUUUUUUUUAAGAAGUGAGACGUCUCACUUUUUUAACGUGUCGGUUGAAAGUUGGACAUGCGCAGUAGCGAACACAAAGAAGAAGAACAACAGUACGGCUUUCUGGAGGGAACGUUACAGACGAGCACGAGCUAACGCUACCUGAGCUAACUUGCUAGCUAAAACCGCUAACAGCACGGACGAACUUGAUGAUGCCAUGGUGCCGACUUUAAGAGACUGUGCUGAUAUAAACAGCCCAGGUGCCAUCGGUGGAUGAGGCCAGCAGGUAGGUGCAGCUCCCCUGGAAAUGGAAGUGCUUCCUGUCAAAAGUGCGGUAGUGAGCUCCACCCCAGGACAUGCAGGUGGCCGAGCCUUGAGGGACCC